rnacentral:rRNA from 1 species
UACGAAGGGUGCAAGCGUUACUCGGAAUUACUGGGCGUAAAGGGUGCGUAGGUGGUUUGUUAAGUCUGCUGUGAAAAUCCCCCGGGCUCAACCUGGGAAUGGCAGUGGAUACUGGCAAGCUAGAGUGCGGUAGAGGGUAGUGGAAUUCCCGGUGUAGAGGUGAAAUUCGUAGAUAUCGGGAGGAACACCUGUGGCGAAGGCGGCCAUCUGGACGACGAUUGACGCUGAGACGCGAAAAGCGUGGGUAGCAAACAGG